CAAUAGCGUAUAUUAAAGUUGUUGCAGUUAAAAAGCUCGUAGUUGGAUUUCUGGUUGAAGCGACCGGUCGGGCGUUGAUUCGUCUGCACUGGAGUCGGUUUUGGCCAUCCUCUAGGAAAGUGCGUCUGGUAUUAAGGUAUCGGGCGUAUGAUCCUGGUCUUUUACUGUGAAAAAAUUAGAGUGUUUAAAGCAGGCCUUCGCCUUGAAUACAUUAGCAUGGAAUAAUAAGAUAGGACUUUGGUCUAUUUUGUUGGUUUGCAGACCGAAGUAAUGAUUAAUAGGGAUAGUUGGGGGUAUUUAUAUUCCGAUGUCAGAGGUGAAAUUCUUAGAUUUUCGGAAGAUAAACUUAUGCGAAAGCAUUUACCAAGGAUGUUUUCAUUAA
rnacentral:rRNA from 1 species